ACGCUGGCGGCCAGCCUACACAUGCAAGUCGAGCGGCAGCACGGGUACUUGUACCUGGUGGCGAGCGGCGGACGGGUGAGUAAUGCCUAGGAAUCUGCCUGGUAGUGGGGGAUAACGCUCGGAAACGGACGCUAAUACCGCAUACGUCCUACGGGAGAAAGCAGGGGACCUUCGGGCCUUGCGCUAUCAGAUGAGCCUAGGUCGGAUUAGCUAGUUGGUGGGGUAAUGGCUCACCAAGGCGACGAUCCGUAACUGGUCUGAGAGGAUGAUCAGUCACACUGGAACUGAGACACGGUCCAGACUCCUACGGGAGGCAGCAGUGGGGAAUAUUGGACAAUGGGCGAAAGCCUGAUCCAGCCAUGCCGCGUGUGUGAAGAAGGUCUUCGGAUUGUAAAGCACUUUAAGUUGGGAGGAAGGGCAGUUACCUAAUACGUAUCUGUUUUGACGUUACCGACAGAAUAAGCACCGGCUAACUCUGUGCCAGCAGCCGCGGUAAUACAGAGGGUGCAAGCGUUAAUCGGAAUUACUGGGCGUAAAGCGCGCGUAGGUGGUUUGUUAAGUUGAAUGUGAAAUCCCCGGGCUCAACCUGGGAACUGCAUGCAAAACUGGCAAGCUAGAGUAUGGUAGAGGGUGGUGGAAUUUCCUGUGUAGCGGUGAAAUGCGUAGAUAUAGGAAGGAACACCAGUGGCGAAGGCGACCACCUGGACUGAUACUGACACUGAGGUGCGAAAGCGUGGGGAGCAAAC
rnacentral:rRNA from 1 species